CGCGUAGGCGGUCCGUUAAGUUGCUGGUGAAAUCCCGGGGCUCAACUCCGGGGCUGCCGGUAAGACUGGCGGGCUCGAGCACGGUAGAGGCAGAUGGAAUUCCCGGUGUAGCGGUGGAAUGCGUAGAGAUCGGGAAGAAUACCGGUGGCGAAGGCGUUCUGCUGGGCCGUUGCUGACGCUGAGGCGCGACAGCGUGGGGAGCAAACA
rnacentral:rRNA from 1 species